UGUACAGCAGUCAGUAAACACCUUAUUAUAUAAAGGAACAAUAAUAGAAAAAUUCAGACAAGCAAGAAAGACACACACACACAUUUUGAGUAGAUAAUAUACAUAUAAUGGAAAUGAACAUUCAGCAAAGAAGACAAACUAUUGAAAAAUAAAUGGAAAAAAAAAUUAAAUGAAAAAAAGAAAUCGCAAGAGAGAUUACAGGUGUGAGGGUGGACCAUUGUGUUCCCCUUAUUCCCCACUCCUACGUCCAAACUGUUGCGUCACUCCGGCCACCAAAGCGCCGUCAACAGCACGCGCCGGCACAAUCGGCGCAUGCGCAGUGAAAGCUCCGGUGACUACCCUCGGGGAGGGUGGCGGGUGGAAGCGUGCUAUAAAGAAAGUUCCUGACGCGAGGGACGUGGCUGACAAAUGCGCGGGAACGAACGCAAGACGAAUAUAAAGGAUGCCAUUCUGAAAUUCUAACUGCAAGUGGAAAAUCGUCACACGAGGAGGACACGCACGUGAACUUACUGACUGUCCACACUAGACUCCCGCCACGUCAUCCACCGACCGCACGAGCAGGAAACAGCAAAAGUUCAGGAAAGAACUCGAAAAAACAGACAACAACGUGAUCUUUGUGGAGGGCACGUAAAGAAGCUUCUGGUUCAGCGUCUGAGACAAGAGAUCAUCACCAAGGCACAGCGCCGUGGACAACGCCGAGCAAAGCAGCGAUUACAACACAGGGCAACAACAUUUGACAAAUUCAGCUCUGACAACUUUAACAUCUAUAUCAGUACAGCUUCUACAUUUACAGCAAAACAGUCUACAUCUACAGCAGAACAGCUUCUACCUAUAUAGUUACUGACAACUUUAAUAUACAACAGCUUUUGUCAGUUUUAACAGAAUAACAUUUGACAGCUGCAGUGGAACCUGAUCUGAACAGGGUUAGUGAAAGAACAACUUCAGGCAAGGCAGUUGGACAUCGUAAGUCAUAAGUGGUACCGCAUUUGACAACUCUGAACAACACCUGCAAAACUGGAACGAGGAUUUUUGAGGGCACACAUCACCUUUCUUCGAGUCGUGAAACAGCGAAAUAAUGGAGUGUUUGCGGCGCCUGUCGUCUGUGACUCUGGUGGUCCUGGGUCUUGCAGUCCUGUGUCUUCUUGCAUCAUCUAGCGAGCAUUCUUAAUAUCAAGGAUCGAAUUACUGGACGGAGAAGGGGAAGGAGUGGAGAAGCGAAGCAGCAGAGACCUGGCCUUCUUCCAGAUGUAUCGACUGUGUGACAGGGACCGUAACGGCCACUUCACGCACUCGGAGCUGUCGUGUCUCAACCAGAUGCUGCACAUGAUCCUUCUCGGCGUACGUAGCUGACGCUCGUCGGGCCAGAUGCAGCACGGGAAGGGGUUAGGGUAGGGCGAGGCACAAUGAGGUGGAUGGCCGUGGUCGGAAGUGACGUGGCACGCAUAAAUAACAGGAAGUGAUGAAAAUAGGGUGUUGUGCAAAUCCCGCUACAAACAUUGAAACACGGAUUCAUGUCUGUUCUUUGGAGACAGGCAGUCCAUAGCAAGUCAAUGGACUCGCAAGAUCAACUGCAAAACCCGAGAGUAACCUAGAGAUCGACCUGAAAAUAGUUUGAGACCUCUUUUGCUUAGAAACCUGAUUAGACUGCUGUUUGUCAAAGGAAUCGUUAAUUACGCUAAUAUAAAAUAAAUAUUAAAUAAUUUUUUGUCAGUGAUAGCUGCGCUUUUUAACACUCAAACGUUCCAUAAUUAACAUCAAAGAUUGAGUCGCCCAAUACUUGUGUUCCUUGAGAAUCAAUUGAAUUGAAAAUUUCUAUAUCAGCACCAGUAUUCCUGUCAAAAUAUUGUUCACAUGCUAUUUUUCAACUCUCAUUCUUAAGCACCAUUAGUCAACAUAUGAAAUUCAUAAGUUAUAUUUACUUCCAUCGAUGCGCAGAAUGGAAAGAACUGAAUGAGACGAUCUGAAAAGAAGAAGAAGACGACACGGCCACACGGUCUGAUAAGGAUCACUGCUGUAAAUGUUGCAUCCCAUGAGAUGUUGUGUGAGGGCAACGGGGAAAUAAAGGACUGUAUGUCUAUCCUCUUCAAAUGUUUUGUGAUGGUGUGCAUGACAGUUUGUGUUUGUCCUAGGUGUGUUUGGCAGCCUGGCUGGUGUGCAGGUACAGAAUGUUGGCAGUCUGGCAGUGACUGUAGCUUCGAUCUGCCUCCUCACAUCGUGACAUUGUCUGAGAAUUCUAGCAGAAGUACAGCCAUUAUUUUUGGAGGAUUAUAUUUUUUAAGAUCGACCUCGACCACUAAAU